rnacentral:snRNA from 1 species
UUUUAGCCCAGAUGGUAACGAAAACCCCGGAGUUAUUCUAGUUUGUUUUUCUUGGUAUAAAAGAGCGACUGGAAGAAGCUCCUUUUAUGCCUUAGAAAAACAACUGGAAUAAUGAGGAGUUGCAGUGUACAGCUGGAUUGGCU